UACAGAGGGUGCAAGCGUUGUUCGGAAUUAUUGGGCGUAAAGCGCGUGUAGGCGGCUUAGCAAGUCGGGCGUGAAAGCCCUCGGAUCAACCGAGGAAGUGCACCCGAAACUGCUGAGCUUGAGUGCCGGAGAGGAUGGCGGAAUUCCACAAGUAGAGGUGAAAUUCGUAGAUAUCGGGAGGAACACCGGUGGCGAAGGCGGCGACCUGGGUGGAUACUGACGCUGAGGUGCGAAAGCGUGGGGAGCAAACAGG
rnacentral:rRNA from 1 species